UGCUGCGUGCGGGGGCCUUUGUAUGGGGUCCUUUGUGAGCUGGGUUAUGAACCAGGUGAAGGUCGUGCAGGCGUCAGAGAAUCGAGGCCAGACAUGACGGGUGGAGGCUUGGUGGAGGUGAGGAGCCAGACAGCCUCGCUAAAUGUGCGGUGGCUCACUGCAGACAGCGUCCAUCAGUCGCUAGACAGGCUUGAUCUUCAGCCCCUACGACAGCUGCCUUUAUCCUGUCUGCCUCCACCUUCUGAGGCCUAUAGGCAUCUCAAAUGUGUGUUUCUUAAACAGAUUUGGAUGAGUUGCUUUCUGCACAACACACCUGGACAGACGGAGGCUGGUUCUCCACAAUGGCACCAGGGACUUGGCGGAGACUGGCGGGACAGAGGCACAGCACCAGCUCCCUGGGAGAAGGCAGUGCCUGUGGGAUGGAGGAAAGAAGAGGCACACAGUGCUGAGACACCCGGAUGUUCUGAGUGGAAACCGCACUGCUGUGGACUUUGUGAGUGGUGAGCCGUGCACAGAUAUGUGCUGUGUUUGCUGUGUCCGCUGACGCAAGCCCUGGUCAGUCCUGUUUCAGGUGGAUGUUUUCCCUUGUAGUUCCCUUCUCUUGUUCUGUUUGUAAGUUCAGUAAACUCGGGACCAAUGGUGAGAGGUAGAGGAGCACGGUGUCGGCAAUU
rnacentral:lncRNA from 1 species